CAUAGUACACGCUAAAUAAUGACGUCACUGACUUUAUGACGUUUAAGCGUGUACCUAACUUUUUUAUUUGCGUACACGUUAGCGUGUACCUAGACACAGCGCAAUUUAAACUGUAUUUGAUACCCAGUCCCAGUACUAGUUGAGUGGUAUUAUCAGCUUGUUCAGUUUUAGAAAAUAUUGCAUUAGUUGUUCACUGCUGGUAACUACUCAUAUGGUAUCAAUACCUUCAUUCGAUACUGAGUACUCGGUAUCAAAUCAAGCCAUAUUAGAUACCUAGUACUAGUAGAAUGAUAUCAGCUUGUCCAGUUUUACAUAAUGUUGCAGUAGUUAUUCGAUGCUACUAAGUACUCAUAUUAUGGUAUCAAUACCUUCAUUCGAUACUGAGUACUUGGUAUCGAAGCAAACUGUUUUUGAUGUAGUACAGUGAUAUUAUUGAUACCAUUUUGUUCAGUUUUACAUAAUAUUACAGCAGUUAUUCGAUGCUAUUAAGUACUUAUAUGGUAUCAAUACCUUCAUUUGAUACUGAGUAUCAAAUCAAGCCAUAUUCAAUACCGAGUACUGGUAGAAUGAUAUCAUUAAUAUUAGCUUGUUCAGCUUUACAUAAUACUGCUGUAGUUAUUCGAUGCUAAAAGACUAUCGAUGCCAUCGAUGCCAUCGCAAUACUCAGGCUAAUUUGCCUUCAUCAAAGACAAAAAAUCCGUCAUCUAUACAUGUUAACCGUCAGGCAUUCUUAAGAAUUACAGUGAAACAAUCAAGUAUGAAAAGGUAAAGUCUAUUUGCUAAUCUGAGACACAACUACUGUCUAGUGACGUUGGUAAUUUUUUUUGAGAAGUUAGGUUGCUAGACGUAACUGGAAAAGACUACACAACCAAACAUAACUACUCAUAGCCAAUAUUAUUAUUAACAGUAAACAGGCAUAAAUAACAUAACAUACACCAUACACCAAUCAAUAAUUAUUUAUUUACACCUUUAUAAUGUAUUGAUAACAGAUGAGAGAAGUAUUUAUUGUACAAAAUAAAAAUAUUUUAUAGAAAUAAAUUCCACAAAAUUU